rnacentral:rRNA from 1 species
UACGUAGGUUGCAAGCGUUGUCCGGAUUUAUUGGGUUUAAAGGGUGCGUAGGCGGCCUUGUAAGUCAGUGGUGAAAUACUCCAGCUUAACUGGAGGGGUGCCAAUGAUACUGCAGGGCUUGAGUACAGAUGAGGUAGGCGGAAUUGACGGUGUAGCGGUGAAAUGCAUAGAUAUCGUCAAGAACACCGAUAGCGAAGGCAGCUUACUGGGCUGUAACUGACGCUGAGGCACGAAAGUGUGGGGAUCAAACAGG